UACGGAGGGGGCUAGCGUUGUUCGGAAUUACUGGGCGUAAAGCGCGCGUAGGCGGCUUUGUAAGUUAGAGGUGAAAGCCCGGAGCUCAACUCCGGAACUGCCUUUAAGACUGCAUCGCUAGAAUCAUGGAGAGGUGAGUGGAAUUCCCAGUGUAGCGGUGAAAUGCGCAGAUAUUGGGAGGAACACCAGCGGCGAAGGCGGCACUCUGGGCUGGUAUUGACGCUGAGGAGCGAAAGCGUGGGUAGCGAACAGG
rnacentral:rRNA from 1 species